GGCUCAGGAUGAACGCUGGCGGCGUGCUUAACACAUGCAAGUCGAACGAAGAUGCCGGAGUGCUUGCACUUUGGCAGACUGAGUGGCGGACGGGUGAGUAACGCGUGGGUAACCUGCCUUAUACAGGGGGAUAACAGCUGGAAACGACUGCUAAUACCGCAUAAGCGCACGGUAUCGCAUGAUACAGUGUGAAAAACUCCGGUGGUAUAAGAUGGACCCGCGUCUGAUUAGCUUGUUGGUGAGGUAACGGCCCACCAAGGCGACGAUCAGUAGCCGGCCUGAGAGGGUGAACGGCCACAUUGGGACUGAGACACGGCCCAAACUCCUACGGGAGGCAGCAGUGGGGAAUAUUGCACAAUGGGGGAAACCCUGAUGCAGCGACGCCGCGUGAGUGAUGAAGUAUUUCGGUAUGUAAAACUCUAUCAGCAGGGAAGAUAAUGACGGUACCUGACUAAGAAGCACCGGCUAAAUACGUG
rnacentral:rRNA from 1 species